rnacentral:lncRNA from 1 species
AUUUAUAAUAAAAUAUAGUUUCAUAACUUUAAAAAAUAAACCGUUUGGUGGCCAAAUCAUUUAUUUUAUUUUUUUUAUUAACAUCUAAAUAUCUGUAGACACUUGGAGGCAAAAAAAAAAAGGAUUGAUUGAUUGUUUUGAGUUUUCUUUUAAGCGAAAUGUGAAACAAAAGGCAACUAUUGAAACACAGAACUCGUGCGUGGACUUCAUGAAUAUAAGAAUAUAGAAAUAUAACACAAACACAGAAGAUUGAAGAUUAAGAAAGAUUAAGAAAAGUUGACAAUCAAACGUAGCAUGCCAUAUAUUCAGUUUUAUGUCCUGAAUAUAUAUUUUUUUUGAGUUUCUCCAAAAUAUGAAUAACCUCUUAUCUUAAUGGCAGCUGAUCCACGUAAUCUGUGGUGCAGUAAUAAGCUGGGUAAUAUUUAGAGCUGUUUUUAUUGUCUGUGUAUUCAGUCUCGGAUACUUCAGUCAUCAUCUUCUGGGACGAUAGUAAGUACAUAGAAAACGUUUGCAGGACUCUGCUCCAUACUAAUAAACAAUUAUAUCAGACUGAAUACAGUCUGAGAAGGUAAAUCUUUGAGUUCACUUGCAAGGUUACACUUAUUAAAGCCAAAAUAAAUUUACAUUAGAACAAACUAUUAAUAAAAAAAAUUGAAUUUGAAUCAAUUUAAUUUAAAUCAAGCCCAAGUGCAUAUUUUUUAAACGAGUUAAUAUACAGUGAUAUAACGUACACUAUCACACACAUAAAAGCGUAUCUAUCAAAUACGUAACACUUGAUCUUCACUAAUAAGCAUUAAUUCCAACACAACUGUUGCAAUUUGAGUCUUAAACAAAAACGUUGUGGUUUCAUCUCGAUCGAUUCUAAAGUUGGAGUACGCUUGUUUAGCUUCUUUAAGCAAACAACACUUCAUGCCAUUCAUGUUUGAAGCUUAAAACUAAAAUAUUAACAUCAGAUGCUCUGAACACGCAGCGCCAGUGUAAUAUUUUUUCUUUUUCUUUGUAAUUGGGGGGGUGUUAGAAAAAUGUUAAGAGAUAGAGGAAAUGUUUCUGAUCCAAGCUACCUGAUGAUGGCAGUAAUGCACUGUUGAGUGCGGUUGCCAGUGAAAGAAAGAAGAAGAAGAAGAAGAAUUUGACAGAGAUGA